UGCAGAUUGCCAUUACUUGAAUGAUGAGUGGCUGAUCAGUUUAGGGCUCUGUCAUCCUCAAUGGUUCACUCUUUACCAUUGCCAUGAUGAAACACAGCAGCUUACUGAUACGGGAUUAAAGCAAUUCUUUCAUCACUGCAAAGAAUCUCUCAAGAUAUUGAACGUAACAAGCUGUAGUGGUCCUGUGCUGAGAGGAGACACAAUCUUGCUGCAAGCAAGCAUUUUUUGUAAACGGCUUGACUCUGUGGAUAUAAGCUGGACGGGAGCUACUGGUUUAGGAAUCAUUUCCCUGUCAGAAGCUUCCUUAAGGGCCUUUCUGCUAAUGGAUGCCAGAUUACAGAUGCUGCUAUAAAUGUCUUGGUUGAAAAGC